rnacentral:rRNA from 1 species
AAUAGAUACCCAGGUAGUCCACGCCGUAAACGAUGAGUGCUAAGUGGUUAGAGGGUUUCCGCCCUUUAGUGCUGCAGCUAACGCAUUAAGCACUCCGCCUGGGGAGUACGGCCGCAAGGCUGAAACUCAAAGGAAUUGACGGGGGCCCGCACAAGCGGUGGAGCAUGUGGUUUAAUUCGAAGCAACGCGAAGAACCUUACCAGGUCUUGACAUCCUCUGCCAACCCUAGAGAUAGGGCGUUCCCCUUCGGGGGACAGAGUGACAGGUGGUGCAUGGUUGUCGUCAGCUCGUGUCGUGAGAUGUUGGGUUAAGUCCCGCAACGAGCGCAACCCUUGAUCUUAGUUGCCAGCAUUCAGUUGGGCACUCUAAGGUGACUGCCGGUGACAAACCGGAGGAAGGUGGGGAUGACGUCAAAUCAUCAUGCCCCUUAUGACCUGGGCUACACACGUGCUACAAUGGAUGGUACAAAGAGCAGCGAACCCGGCGAGGGGUAAAGCCAAAUCUCAUAAAAGCCAUUCUCAGUUCGGAUUGU